AUUGAACGCUGGCGGCAUGCCUAACACAUGCAAGUCGAACGGCAGCACAGUAUGUAGCAAUACAUAUGGGUGGCGAGUGGCGGACGGGUGAGUAACGCGUGGGAAUCUGCCCUAUAGUGGGGGACAACCCGACGAAAGUCGGGCUAAUACCGCAUACGCCUACGGGGAAGGCUUCGGCCGCUAUUGGAUGAGCCCGCGUCGGAUUAGCUAGUUGGUGAGGUAAUGGCUCACCAAGGCGACGAUCCGUAGCUGGUCUGAGAGGACGAUCAGCCACACUGGGACUGAGACACGGCCCAGACUCCUACGGGAGGCAGCAGUGGGGAAUAUUGCACAAUGGGCGAAAGCCUGAUGCAGCAAUGCCGCGUGUGUGAAGAAGGCCUGCGGGUUGUAAAGCACUUUCGGUAGGGAAGAUAAUGACGGUACCUACAGAAGAAGCACCGGCUAACUCCGUGCCAGCAGCCGCG
rnacentral:rRNA from 1 species